rnacentral:rRNA from 1 species
UACGUAGGGUGCAAGCGUUGUUCGGAAUUACUGGGCGUAAAGCGUGCGCAGGCGGUUGUGCAAGACAGAUGUGAAAGCCCCGGGCUCAACCUGGGAAUUGCGAUGGAGACUGCAAGGCUUGAAUCUGGCAGAGGGGGGUAGAAUUCCACGUGUAGCAGUGAAAUGCGUAGAGAUGUGGAGGAACACCGAUGGCGAAGGCAGCCCCCUGGGUCAAGAUUGACGCUCAUGCACGAAAGCGUGGGGAGCAAACAGG